GGAUUAAAUAAGAGAUGUGAACUCACCAUGGCAACCCCUGCAUCACAUUGCAGAUAUGCUGCUUCUAAGAUACGGCAAAUGUUUCUGAAGAAAUACACAUGAAUAUGAGGAAUCCAGGAAACUCGCUUGUCUGAUUUGAACCACCUCCUGCUGAUGUUCUGAGAUCUUGCAAUAAUGCUGAUGUUCACCAUAAGAUUUCACUUGUAGAGGAAAUCUUCACUUCUCACACUGCCUGAGAUGACUGAUAAAGAAGACAGCAAGUAUUCUGGACUGACACGUGUAGUUGUCUCCAUACAUUCUUUCAUCACUGUUCAAGGUUUUGUCUCUGUGGUACAGAAAUGCAGGAAUCCUAAAUAAAUUUUGAAUAUUUUUGGUAGCAGAGGUUUAAUUAAAACCUCAAAGAUUUUUAUUAGGCCCAACAACCUCAUUGCCAAUCUGCAUAUCUACAUUUUAUCAGAAAGAAAAGGUUUUUUUAUUCUUACAAACGAACAAGUUUGUUCAUUGAAGAUGUUAAAACAUUUGUUUAAAAAUUCUACUGAUAAAAUGCAUCCCCUUACAUGCAACUUAUUUUCACUUCAACACCACUUCUCCAUUGGUUUGCUGUAUUUUUUCACAGAGGGUUAUUUACACUUGGGGCAAGGGGUGAUGUACAGUGACUGAAUGGCUGGUCCUUGGUGUUUCUGUGCACUGGGGACAUGCCCUGGUCCCAGGUAACCCUGGUUAUGAUGGGGUUCAAGGGCUCACCUUUCCCAUGAGCUGGGUUCCAAGUAUUUCUUGGUGGAGCUCCUGCCCUGGCUCUGUGUUUCCUGGGAUGGUGCCUUGAUUCUGGUGGGAGCUGAGGCUGACUGCCCCAGAGCCUGGGAGAACUGUUUGGUUACACACUCAUCAGGACUGCUGGCCUCCUCCCAGACGAGCUGUGCAAGGAGCUGUAUUUAAUCUCUGGUUUUUAUUCCUUCACCAUGGCUACCUAGUGGUGCAAAACCUGCAGCUGCUGAGGUGAGAAAGGGUGGUUCAGCCAGCAUGGGUGAUACAAAAUGCCUGCCUGAGAAGCUGCCUGACAAUUUCCACCUUUGCCAUCAUUCAAAACUCCCUUUUAAGCUGCUCACCGUGCUUAGUUUUGACUGUCCCUUUGCUCAGCUUAGGGAUAAUGUUAAUUGUGACUCUGUGCUGGCAGAGAUUGUCACAGAGUAUUUGAGCUCUUCCUUGGCUUCUUUAUGUCUGUAGUCCUCCUAGGUUUUUUUUUUUUUUUUGCUUGUUUGUGGUUGGUUUUUUGUUUGUUUUUUUUGCCUGGCUGAUUGAUUCAAGAUACAAGUUUAUGAGCUCCUGAAAUGGGGAGCUCUUGGUUGUGGUCCUCAGAUGACUGAAAUGCUAAUAAUAAUAUGGUCAAAACAUAGGAAACAAUCACAUUCUAGAUUACUUCUCAUGAUGCAGGUUUGCACUCUUACUUCAGUUUAACUGAUGGAAAUAGCCUAGUGACCAUGGCAUUGAGUUUCUUAUAUUAGCUUGAGACCCUUGUGAUUAACUAUCACAAGGAUUUAACCACACUUGCACUUGCUAUUGUAAAUCCAGAUCACUAAAAGCCCUCACAAACUGCAUCAAAAUGAGAAAUAUCUGCCUACAUGGCUCUCCAAACAUGACCAAUGUGUACCAUUUUCUGAAACUGGUGACAGUCACCCAUGUGAUGUGGCCAGCAUCACAUUCAGCUGCCUUUGAGACCCUGCAUUCAACAGAGUUUCUAUUUAUAACUAUUUCUAUUUAUUGAAAAUGGCCUUUGGCACCAGGACAGACCAGAGCCUGGUCUUUGGUCUCUGGAUCUACUAGGGAGAGCCCUGUCUGUCUCCCACACUCUACCUUUACACUGAACAAAACAACAGCCACUUAUGGAGCUGUGGAAAUGGUUCAUGACUUUCUGUUGCUGUAGAUAUUCACUGGGUGAACUCGUUCAUUAAAAGCAAAAUCACAUCCCCUUCCCUCAUUAUCCUUCCCUCACAAAAAUGCAUUUCAUCUUGACUUUUCUCCCACCUGCCUCAUUCCUGAUGGAAGUAAUCUAUUUCACAUAUUGCAACCUGGUGUUAAAAUUAUUAUUUUAUAGUGCUUUAUGUUUAAUUUUUCUUAAAACUGAAUUUCUUAGUUUUUUUAAUGGGAAGAAAAAUCAUCAGCUUUGUAAAAAUGAAAAGUCAGCACUGCAUGGCUCAGAGAAGUACCAUAAAUCUUUUGCUAUUGCUAUUUCCAUCUCA